rnacentral:lncRNA from 1 species
UCGAUAAAAAAUUUUAUUAUAAUUAAAGAAUUUUUAACAUUUUCAUGAAUCUAUCUGAAGUCAAUAGACUUCUCCGAUAUACCAAAGCUAGCUUGUAAUGUUAAACAAAAACUUGGAUAAACAAUACAACUGAGAGAGCUUUCAUAAGUGAUGGUGACGUCUACCACCGUACAAAGUCGUAUUCGUUGUUUUGAUCUAGCAGUGGCAAUGGUUGAUCCAAUAAAUGAUCAAAAAGUAAAUCAUUAUGAACUGGAGCUUUCUCUGCCACUUGGUGCUGCAAAAUCAGAUGUGAAGGGGAAGCAAGGUUUAU